GUUAUUUCAAUCCAACAAGAUUCAAUGCCGCCCUCAGCUAUUUCUAAAUCACGCCUUCUAAUGAAAUCUAAUUCAUGCGAUAUGUAAAUCCCGACUCCGCCUGCAUUAGUCGAUCCUCCGUGCAGCCGAAGCUAUGAGCUUGUUUGCCUCCCGUCGGGUUCUUCUUCAAUUGUAGCAGCAGAGGACUAUAAAGAGGCUCUACAUUACUAUUCUCAUUAAGAUGUCACGAAGCAAAUUCAAAACAGAAAGGUGGUUAAAGCAAGGAAUUAACCCAGAUUCAUUAUGUAGGCUGGCUGAAAGCAAAUGUAAAUUAAUGUUUUUCAUAUUCUUUUAUUGUUAAGUGUUAUUAUAUUCAAUCAACCCACAUUCCUUUCCUAUAGCCAACAUAAUAUGCUCUUGCGGUGUUGAUACUUCCCUAAAAUCUGAAUUAAGUAAGCCUUAACUGUCAACAAAAUUAUUAACAGACAGACAGACAGACAUACAGAUUAGUUUAUUGGUACCGUGUAAAGACUUUUACAUUAGUGUGAAUCCAAUAAAUUUAACAUUAAGCCAUUCGAAUUCUCAAAAAUACAUAUAUACAGACAAAAGAACAUAGAGAAGAUACCAGUACCCUUUAAAUAUUUAUUCUUUAAAAAAAGAAUGUAUGUAAGCUUAGGGGUAAAUAAAAGGUUUUUUUUUUCUUGUAAAUUGUUCUAUGGAUUUGUUCAAUGGCUUGGCCCUAUUCAUGGCUGAUUAGCUUUUACUUAUUCAUGAGCAUCGUUCAAGAGAGUUACUCAUAUGUAGUAAUGACAGGGGAGAGGGGUUGGAAUAUUGUAUUUCAAAAUAUAUGGAUGUUUGCUAGAGAUGAAAGAUGGAUUAAGAGAAAAAGGAUUUCAUUUAUCAAAAUUUGUUUUUAGUAUCUAAUGAGUUAAUUGGUAAAAAUGUAUAAAAAGGAUUUCAAAAUAUAUGGAUGUUUGCUAGAGAUGGAAGAUGGAUAAGAGAAAAAGGAUUUUAUUUAUCAAAAAUUUGUUUUUAGUAUCUAAUGAGUUAAUUGG